UGUCUCAAAGAUUAAGCCAUGCAGGUCUAAGUGCACACGGCCGGUACAGUGAAACUGCGAAUGGCUUCAUUAAAUCAGUUAUGGUUCCUUUGAUCGCUCCCACCGCUACUUGGAUAACUGUGGCAAUUCCAGAGCUAAUACAUGCAAACGAGCGCCGACCCGUGCCGGCCCCUCCGGGGGGCGGCCGGGGACGCGUGCAUUUAUCUGAUCCAAAACCCAUGCGGGUGUCGUCGGGGGUCCCCCCCCGGCGCCCCGGCCUCUUUGGUGACUCUAGAUAACCUCGGGCCGAUCGCGCGCCCUCCGCGGCGGCGACGACUCUUUCGAAUGUCUGCCCUAUCAACUUUCGAUGGUACGUCCGGCGCCUACCAUGGUGACCACGGGUAACGGGGAAUCAGGGUUCGAUUCCGGAGAGGGAGCCUGAGAAACGGCUACCACAUCCAAGGAAGGCAGCAGGCGCGCAAAUUACCCAUUUCCGACACGGAGAGGUAGUGACGA
rnacentral:rRNA from 1 species